rnacentral:rRNA from 1 species
UUUCCCCUACGGGGGGCAGCAGUGAGGAAUAUUGGUCAAUGGUCGGGAGACUGAACCAGCCAAGCCGCGUGAGGGAGGAAGGUACAGAGUAUCGUAAACCUCUUUUGUCAGGGAACAAAGGCGGGGACGUGUCCCCGGAUGAGUGUACCUGAAGAAAAAGCAUCGGCUAACUCCGUGCCAGCAGCCGCGGUAAUACGGAGGAUGCGAGCGUUAUCCGGAUUUAUUGGGUUUAAAGGGUGCGCAGGCGGAUUUUUAAGUCAGCGGUCAAAUCGUGGGGCUCAACCCCAUCCAGCCGUUGAAACUGG